rnacentral:rRNA from 1 species
GACGAACGCUGGCGGCGUGCCUAACACAUGCAAGUCGAACGGAAAGGCCCUGCUUUUUUGGGGUGUCCGAGUGGCGAACGGGUGUGUAACACGUGAGUAACCUGCCCUUUACUUUGGGAUGACCUCAGGAAACUGGGGCUAAUACCGGAUAGGAGCUCCUGCUGCAUGGUGGGGGUUGGAAAGUUUGGGCGGUUGGGGACGGACGUGCGGCUUAUCAGCUUGUUGGUGGGGUAGUGGCUUACCGAGGCUUUGACGGGUCGCAGGCCUGGGAGGGUGACCGGCGGAAUUGGGACUGAGAUACGGCGCAGACUGCUACAUGAGGCAGCGGUGGAGAAUAUUACACAAUGGGCGGAAGCGUGAUGCAGCAACCCCGCGGGCGGGAGGACGGCUUUCGUGUUGUAAAGCGCUUUCGCCUGUGACGAAGCGUGAGUGACGGUACUGGGUAAAGAAGCACCGGCUAACUACGUG